CUGUGUGUUUUUCUCUCUGUGUUUCUCUCUGUUUCUCUCUCCUCUCUCUCUCUCCCCCUCUCUCUCCCUCUCUGCCUCUCUCUCUCUCUCCCUCCCCCUCUCCCCCUCUCUCUCCCUCUCUCUCCCUCUCUCUCCCUCUCUGCCUCUCUGCCUCUCUCUCUCUCUCUCCCUGCCUCGGUUUUGGAACUCUCUAUGUGCUCAGCUGUUCUAGAACUGGACCUACUAUUGGGAGGCUCCUGAGUUCUGGCCUCACAGGCUGGAAACAGUGUCCAGCAGACCCUGAUGGAGGGUUUCCAAGAAGCUGUCUACAUUGUUUAUCAUCACCACCAUUACCGUCCUCACCAUCACCACCAUCCUUAGGAGUGAUCUCCUCCAACUCACAUGUGAACUAAGGAUACUCCAGUCCAGUCCUUUCCCGUUAGUCUGACGUGUGGAAGUGACAUCUUACAUGAGAGAAUACUGUGGGGCAAAAGGUAAGACUGUUAUUCCUCAGCAGUGACCUCCUAGGGGUCUCUGUGCUUAACCAGCAUCGCCUUGGAGAACUUCUUUUUCUAGUGUUUAUUUGAGUGUAUCUUCAGAAAUAAUAAACACUUGCAACUCAAUGCCUGCUGCUCUGGGACAAACAGAGCAGAGAAUGGCAUGAUCUUACAACUGACCUGAUCCCCUUGACACCACUAGCAUGAUCAC
rnacentral:lncRNA from 1 species